UACGUAGGUGGCGAGCGUUGUCCGGAUUUACUGGGCGUAAAGAGCGCGCAGGCGGUCUUUUAAGUCGGGUGUGAAAGCCCCCGGCUCAACUGGGGAGGGUCACGCGAUACUGCUCGACUUGAAGGCAGGAGAGGGAAGUGGAAUUCCCGGUGUAGUGGUGAAAUGCGUAGAUAUCGGGAGGAACACCAGUGGCGAAGGCGACUUCCUGGCCUGUUCUUGACGCUGAGGCGCGAAAGCUAGGGUAGCAAACGGG
rnacentral:rRNA from 1 species